rnacentral:rRNA from 1 species
GACAUAGGUGGCGAGCGUUAUCCGGAUCUAUUGGGCGUAAAGGAUGCGUAGAUGGCAGAACAGGCUACUGGUCGAAGUUGGGCUUAACCAAAUGGAAGCUAAUGAUACUAUUCUACUCGAGGACGGAAGAGACUCUAUGUGUAAGGCCAGUAAGGGUGAAAUCCAUUGAUCUAUGGGGGACCACCAAAAGGGCGAAGGCAGCUAACUAUUCUGCUCCUGAUAUUGAGGCAUGAAAGCGUGGGUACCAAAACGG